CUGCUGCCUUCCGUAGGAGUUUGGGCCGUGUCUCAGUCCCAAUGUGGCCGUCCACCCUCUCAGGCCGGCUACUGAUCGUCGCCUUGGUGGGCCGUUACCCCGCCAACAAGCUAAUCAGACGCGGGUCCAUCUUACACCACCGGAGUUUUUCACACAAAUCCAUGCGGCUUCGUGCGCUUAUGCGGUAUUAGCACCCAUUUCUAAGUGUUAUCCCCCAGCGUAAGGCAGGUUACCCACGCGUUACUCACCCGUCCGCCACUAAG
rnacentral:rRNA from 1 species